AGGGCGGGAUUGAGCAGGAGGGGAUUUUUGAGAUUAGCACCAUUCCGUAUUUUGUCUCCCGAGCCGCUGGGCAGGACAGAGAGGGAAUACACUACGGAAUGCAGGCUGGAGGGAAGCUGCUGCCUCGGCGUGUUGCAGGAUCCCCCAGGCGUGGAGCGGGACCAGUCCCUGGGCGUCUCUGGAAAACGCUGGUUAAUGUGUGCUGGAUGCUGGGCGGCAAAGGGAGUGCAGAGGGGAGGAGCUGGAUAGCGGCAGAUGCUUCUGGCAGAUGUGGAGGGAGGAGAUCUGUAUGACUGCUGGGGCUUCCUUGGCAUCCCCUUUUUGCCAGGUCGGUGCAUUUGACCUGGUGGCCUUUCACACCAUUGUAUUUGCAAAGGAUUAAAAAUUUUUAAAACUAAAAUAAAACAAAUCAAAAUUGUAUGAAA